rnacentral:rRNA from 1 species
UGGGGAAUAUUGCACAAUGGGCGCAAGCCUGAUGCAGCCAUGCCGCGUGUAUGAAGAAGGCCUUCGGGUUGUAAAGUACUUUCAGCGGGGAGGAAGGCGUUGUGGUUAAUAACCACAGCGAUUGACGUUACCCGCAGAAGAAGCACCGGCUAACUCCGUGCCAGCAGCCGCGGUAAUACGGAGGGUGCAAGCGUUAAUCGGAAUUACUGGGCGUAAAGCGCACGCAGGCGGUCUGUCAAGUCGGAUGUGAAAUCCCCGGGCUCAACCUGGGAACUGCAUUCGAAACUGGCAGGCUAGAGUCUUGUAGAGGGGGGUAGAAUUCCAGGUGUAGCGGUGAAAUGCGUAGAGAUCUGGAGGAAUACCGGUGGCGAAGGCGGCCCCCUGGACAAAGACUGACGCUCAGGUGCGAAAGCGUGGGGAGCAAACAGG